rnacentral:lncRNA from 1 species
AGCAGGGCGGCGGACAGAAACACAAACACUGCAGCGGCCCGUCUUCUGUGUCGGGGUCAGGGCGCGCUGAUGGAACCCCCAAUCCUGUAGUUCUGCUGAGGGCUGACGCUGUCCCCGGGCACCUGCCUGGAGAAUCUUGCUGCCGGGCUUUGGCACAGGAGAGGAGAGGAAGGAGGCGGGCUGAGGUUUUGAGUUAGCCUGAGUCGCCGGGCCUCAGUGGAGACUGUCCGGGUUCUCCGACUCGCUGCUGCAGGCUGUCCCCGGGGCCAUGCUUGCUCCGCUGGCUCCCAGCUUCCCCGGGCGCACUGAAGGUCUCGGGCUCCCGGAGCACUCCAGAAGCGGAGGGCUGCUCGGUGCGGCGCGGCCGGCCAGGCCCGGGCGCCUUCUCCCAGCUCCGGUCGCAGCAGCCAGACACUUGCAACUAACUUCUCCCAAGUUUCCGGCCCGGGCUCAGCCGCGCCCCUCUCGGUGAGCGCGCCUCCGAGCGUGCGCCCGCGUGGGUGCCGCGCCCGCGAGCCCCUGGGUCCCGGCUACUCCGGGCGCCGCAGGCUGGAAGGAUGCAGGGAUCCAGGUCCUGGAGGAGGACGGGGAUUAAAGAAAACGUGCUAUAUCACCUCAGAUCGCAGGUCUGCUCUGGGGCUGCUCCUGCUUUCCCAGCUCCGGGCCCAGGCUUUCGCUCCGCCGCUUCCGAGGCGACUGCAGCCCGGCUCAGGUUUAGGCGAGUGGAGUGUCCGCCGCGCGCCGCGGAGUCUGCGCACUGUUUGGAGCUUGGUGUCGCCGGCGGCUCCCCUGUUCUGCCCAGCGCUGCUGGUGCUCUGCUGGCUGCUCUUCCGGGAGGAUGAAAGCGGUACACCAGAGGAAAAGAGCUUCAGAAACUGGCGAGGAAGAGGGUUGAGCCUGGGGGUGGGAGUGGGGGAAGAGUCUUUGAAAGUGUUUGAGACUGUUCCGAAUGGCAAGAAAGUACUCAUUUUCCUUGGAGGGCCAGGUGUGACUCGCAACAGACGCCUCCGGCAGUUUCUUGCCUCAUGGUUGCACUCAGAGGUAGUGGAGUGGAAAGUAGCCCAGGAUGGACAGAACAUUUUUGGCAAGCCUUUGGAAAAGGAAUGAGCCUAGGUUGAGCCCGCAUCCCCUUCUGAAUACACAGCUUUUUUAAACAGUUGUCUUCUGUCUUGUUUUGCCUUCUUUUAAUUCUGGUCGUCAGAGCUAUCUCUGUGUUGUUUCUUUAACGUUUGCAGUCUCUCAACGAUAGGGCAAAGCUGCUUCAAAUCAAAAGCAUAAAUCAUUUCUCUAAAUAAAAAUUUUAAAAAUGUUCUACUCUGACAGUUUUUAUGCUGUUGAGCCAGUUUUCUUGCUUGGUAGUUAGAGCUAUUAUAAUUGACGCUAUACACAAUCAAAAAUCAAAUAGCACCCCCGAAUAUUCCUGGGGAACCCCCCUCCUCAGGGACUUUGUGUUUCAGGCAGAUUACUUGUCUUCCUUUGGCUGUUUGCAAGUAACACAUUCGUAUACACGGUUAGCUUUUUUUAAAAUGUCUUUUUGCAAUUUAUGUCCAGUUUGUACACACACGGGACCUUUGAACCAUUGAUUUGUAAUCAGGGCAUUAACAUGAAUUGGUUUGCACUCCUAUUUAUUUAAGAAUUGGGCUUGUUUUGUUGCUCAUUUAAAUUGAAGAAGGCGAUGGCUUUUGAAAUGUUUGUUGUGAUAACAGACAUGCCAGUCAGCAGUGGCAUGUUAAGUGGGUUUCUGUUUUCCUUAGCUGUCAUGUUUGUAAAUGCUUAUUUUGUAUUGUUUUUGCUCUCCUGUUGCUAAAACAAUUGAACUGAUUCCUCUAGAAUCAUAAUUCUUUACCUCACUUUUGUAGACACUGUCAUUCAGACUCUGGGUGGUGCGAUGCUAAGACUCUGGCAAGUGUAAUUACAUAGACUAGGAUAUUAAAUACACUGUUUCAUGAUGAUAAACUACAAAAUUACUGUCUCUGAGCUUUCAACCUACCAACUUGCAUAAUAGUUUUGAGACAAAAUAUUACCCACUGUCACACAAAGAACAUAUAUAUGGGAACACAAUAUAUGAAAACUGUUAUUCACUAAUUCUGAAUAAAGUUGAGUCUAGUAAUGAAAAUUAUCUUGACAUAAAAAGAUUGAAGGCUGAAGAAAUCAAUUUAUGUUGGUAAUUUAAAUAAUUUAUGCGCUUCAAAUUUAUCUUAUAAACAUGCAAUAAAUUAUGAUUGCAUAGAAAUGUUUGUAUAUAUGACUGAAAUCUAUGCUUAUGUAUGCUAUAAGUUGUCAAAAAUCAAAUACAUAAAACUUUUGUGAAUAACCCCAGUAUCUUAGGACUCCUCCACCUCAGGGGAUCUGAGGUAGCUCCUGUGGUAUUCUCACCUAUGUCUCUAGUGUGGACUUUGCAGCUAGGCCAAUGGUAGCCAUGGGCUCUGAGCCUUCUGAGUCUGCCGUGGAACCCUCAUCCUAUGUGUGCUGACUGAUAGAGAAAGAGUCUCCAGGUCUCUCUGCACUUCCUCAGAGUUUACUCUCCCAUGGUGGAAGGGACAUGCCAUGGCGGCCUCUCUUACAGAGGCACCAGAGCCCUUCACUGGCAGAUGAGAGCAGGAAUCCUUCAUUUUCUUCAUAACCACAGGUGCUCGCGGAACUCCCUCACAAGGUCUUCCCACAGUGGUCUUGUUAGCUCUAUGGAACCAAAUCAACACAAGAAAACCAAGGCUCUGGGUCCAGCCUGCCUGAGUCCUGAGCAGAAGGGGCAGAAAACAGAUGAAUAUGGUGAUUGAUGAAAACACAAAGAGGAAGCCAAGUGGUGGCAAUGGGUGAACAGUGAGAAAACCAGUGGAGACCUGAGAGACGAAAGGAGCUUGUCACUCAUGGGGACACUGUCUGACACCAUGGACAGACAACGGAAGAUCACAGGGCCACCGAAGGUCAGCAAGAGCGCCUCGAAAGAUCACCAACGAAAGUUCAUAGCCCCCAUUGCUGGGUCUCAUCAAAGUGUUUCUUUACCUGGCUAAAGCCACGUGAGGCUUUCCUUUCUCUUCAUCUCCAUUUCCAAGUCCAUCAUUUUCAU